rnacentral:rRNA from 1 species
AGCCUAGCGCUAAGGCUUAAUGUGGCUGUUGCAAAAUGGUCAAUCAAAGACAACAUUAAGCGGUGCAGCGUUACAAACUCUGGUGUUUGUAGUGUCAAUGUAUCAGAUCGGGCAACUGGUCUGCGUACUUUCGGCCUAGCGUACAAGUCCCAUUGACUUGGGCUUAUUCUUCAAUUGAGAUGUCUACGCGUUUGGGGCAAAACCUGGGUGCGUGGAUGAGCCAAAGAGGGUGAAAGUCCCUUAAUGCGCGGGUAUUGAUGCUACUAAUCAGAGCAGUGGCGUCUGGUAAAACAGGCGCUGCGGUUUAUUAGAGUCGGGUUGCUUGAGAGUGCAACCUAAAGAGCGAGGUAAACUGCUCGUAAGGCUAUGUAAAUACGGCUACGACACCGAUAGCAAACAAGUACCGUGAGGGAAAGUUGCAAAGUACUUUGAAGAGAGAGUUAAACAGGGCGUGAAACCGCUAGCUGGUAAACGAGUGGAGCCACGAAGUCGUUUCGUAGAAUACGGGGCGCAAAUUCAGCCAGGGUCCUCGCGGGCUCUAGCGUAUUUUUGCUUGUUUCCCGCUACUGUAAGCGUACACUGCAACCAAUUAGACGGCCAAACGUGGAAACAGUUUGCAAGUCAUGCAAGGAAACUUGUUGCUUGUAAGCGUAUACACUUGUGCAUUCACUGUAGGUAGCCUGGUUAGAGUCUUUGUUGUAUUCUAUUAUCGGGUGUCUGACAUAUCGUGUGAUGCGUGAACUACGUUUGGGUACUGAUUGGCGCAAAGAAAAUCGAAUCGCAAGAUUCGUUUAUUCAUAGAAAGCGGCCAACAUCGUCAGGUGGGUACAAUUGCGCGCCGCUAGUCUAAGCUUGUUAUUGUUGAAUUCAGGCACGUAUAUUGUGAUUGGGUUUACGCUCGGUCAUAUAUGCGCUGUUUCCUGUCUAAUCUGGUAUCAACUUUACUGGCGGUUUGUCUGCAAUUGCCAUGAUAGCCUCUUGUGCGAUAGUGCGGUCUGCAAGCAUUAGCAGUGAGUAGGUCGGCUUUCCACACGACCCGUCUUGAAACACGGACCAAGGAGUCUAGUUAAGUAUCGAGUCGAUCGGUCUUGAUUAGGCCAGACUCUGGGAGCGUGCGCGCGUCCCAGUAUUACAAAAAGCAAUGACGGCAAAGUGAAAUCAAAUCAUAUGUGAUCUGAGGUCUAUAAAAAUGGCCUACAGCGCAACAUAUGCCCACUCGUAUGGUUAUACGCGCAAGUGUUAGCCGGGUGGAGCAAAGAGAUACUUGACUGGUACCCGAAAGAUGGUGAACUAUUCCUGGCCAGAUUGAAGCCAGAGGAAACUCUGGUGGAGGAUUGUAGCGAUUCUGACGUGCAAAUCGAUCGUCAGAGCUGGGUAUAGGGGCGAAAGACUAAUCGAACCAUCUAGUAGCUGGUUCCCUCCGAAGUUUCCCUCAGGAUAGCAAGCUCUCGCAGAAAAUAGUGAAUCAGUUUCAUCUGGUAAAGCGAAUGAUUAGAGGCCUUGGGAGCGAAACGCUCUCAACCUAUUCUCAAACUUUAAAUGGGUGAGAUGUACGACGUACUUAAUUGACGCCGUAUUCACAUAGAAUGUAUUGAGAGCUUAGUGGGCCAUUUUUGGUAAGCAGAACUGGCGAUGCGGGAUGAACCGAAAGUGAAGUUAAGGUUGCCGAUAAUGGUGCUAACAAUGUGUGCACUAGCUACACUCAUGAGAUCCCAUGAAAGGUGUAAGUUGCUAAAGACAGCAAGGACGUGGCCAUGGAAGUCGGAAACAUCUAAGGAGUGUGUAACAACUCACUUGCCGAAGCAACUUGCCCUGAAAAUGGAAGCAGCUCGAGUGUUGAACCUAUACUUGACCGUUGAAUUAUCGUUCGUGCAAAUGCGAUUAGUUAUGAUUCAACGUGUAGGAGGGUUGUGUUGGUAGCGUUGAAGGCUAUGAGGGAGUGAUCCUGGCUGGAGCUGCCAAUAGUACAGAUCUUGGUGGUAGUAGCAAAUACUCAAGUGAGACCCUUGAGGGCCAAUGUGGAGAAGGGUUCCAUGCUAACAGCAAUUGGACAUGGGUCAGUCGGUCCUAAGAGAAUGGCGAAAGCUAUUUCUGAAUCAAAGGCAGUGUAAACAACACAGACAACACGAAGCACACACGCGCGCGCGCACACACACACACACACACGCAACAACAUGGCGAAAACUCAUCUUUCGUUCUUCGUGACACUGAUGUGUGUGUUUGUCACUGAUGGGUGUGAGUGUGUCUAUGCGUAAGUGUGUGUGUGUUUGGCUGAAAAUCACACUGUAUGACUCGAAAGGGAAUCAGGUUAAUAUUCCUGAACCAAGAUGAGGAGAUUGUGUGUUGUGUGCAGUUUUUACGAACUCGUGCAACAGGCAUCGGCGGUAACGCAAACAAGCACGAUGACGCCGGCGGCAGUCCUGGGAAGAGUUGUCUUUUCUUUGUAAGCUUACUGUGUUUUUCAACGAGACCUUGGAAUCGAAUCAUUCGAAGAUAAGGU